GACGAACGCUGGCGGCGUGCCUAAUACAUGCAAGUCGAACGAACCGCGACUAGGUGCUUGCACUUGGUCAAGGUGAGUGGCGAACGGGUGAGUAACACGUGGGUAACCUACCUCAUAGUGGGGGAUAACAGUCGGAAACGACUGCUAAUACCGCAUAGGACAUGGGAUCACAUGAUUCUGUGAGGAAAGGUGGCGCAAGCUAUCGCUAAGAGAUGGACCCGCGGUGCAUUAGCUAGUUGGUAGGGUAACGGCCUACCAAGGCGAUGAUGCAUAGCCGACCUGAGAGGGUGAUCGGCCACAUUGGGACUGAGACACGGCCCAAACUCCUACGGGAGGCAGCAGUAGGGAAUCUUCCGCAAUGGACGCAAGUCUGACGGAGCAACGCCGCGUGAGUGAAGAAGGUCUUCGGAUCGUAAAGCUCUGUUGUUAGAGAAGAACAGCGCAUAGAGUAACUGCUAUGCGUGUGACG
rnacentral:rRNA from 1 species